UACGUAGGGUGCAAGCGUUAAUCGGAAUUACUGGGCGUAAAGCGUGCGCAGGCGGUUUUGUAAGUCUGUCGUGAAAUCCCCAGGCUUAACCUGGGAAUGGCCGUUGAAACUGGCGAACUGGAGUGUGGCAGAGGGGGGUGGAAUUCCGCGUGUAGCAGUGAAAUGCGUAGAGAUGCGGAGGAACACCGAUGGCGAAGGCAGCCCCCUGGGCUAACACUGACGCUCAGGCACGAAAGCGUGGGGAGCAAACAGG
rnacentral:rRNA from 1 species